rnacentral:rRNA from 1 species
GAUGAACGCUAGCAGCAGGCUUAAUACAUGCAAGUCGAGGGGCAGCAGCUUUAUAGCAAUAUAGAGGCUGGCGACCGGCAAACGGGUGCGGAACACGUACACAACCUUCCUUUAAGAGGGGGAUAGCCCAUAGAAAUGUGGAUUAAUACCCCGUAACAUAUCGGUGUGGCAUCACACUGUUAUUAUAGUUUCGACGCUUGAAGAUGGGUGUGCGGCUGAUUAGGUAGUUGGCGGGGUAAAGGCCCACCAAGCCUUCGAUCAGUAGCGGAUGUGAGAGCAUGAUCAGCCACACGGGCACUGAGACACGGGCCCGACUCCUACGGGAGGCAGCAGUAAGGAAUAUUGGUCAAUGGACGCAAGUCUGAACCAGCCAUGCCGCGUGAAGGAUGAAGGUCCUCUGGAUUGUAAACUUCUUUUAUAGGGGGCGAAAAAAGGGAAUUCUUUCUCACUUGACAGUACCCUAUGAAUAAGCACCGGCUAACUCCGUGCCAGCCGCCGCGGUAA